rnacentral:misc_RNA from 1 species
GAGAGAUUUAAAAUUCAGGUGAAAUGAAUAGGAUUUAGUUCAGUUUUAAGUUCAACAGUUUUCCCACCCCAUCCUUUCUACCCAAAAAAAUAUUGUAGAAGAGGGAGAGUCCAAGUAACAUAGAAAAUGGAUAGGCAAAGAGCCGCUUUGAUCACUACAAAAAUUGAGACAGUGAAGCAAUUAUAGGAAACUAUCACUCAGCAUAUCACUGAAGUUAGUGCAAGCACCGGAAAUAUAAGUCAUUACAAUAGACAAAGGCAAAUAACAACUAUGAGUUAAAAUGUAACAAGGCUAGUUUGUGGUUUGAAUCUUAGGAAAUUGGCCUUCAUAACAUAAAUUUCAUAAUCUUUAAC